UACGUAGGCAGCGAGCGUUGUUCGGAGUUACUGGGCGUAAAGGGUGUGUAGGCGGUUCUCCAAGUUUGGUGUGAAAUCUCCCGGCUCAACCGGGAGGGUGCGCCGAAAACUGGGGGGCUAGAGUGCGGGAGGGGAGAGUGGAAUUCCUGGUGUAGCGGUGAAAUGCGUAGAGAUCAGGAAGAACAUCGGUGGCGAAGGCGCUCUGCUGGACCAUAACUGACACUCAGGGACGAAAGCUAGGGGAGCGAAUGGG
rnacentral:rRNA from 1 species